UACGGAGGGUGCAAGCGUUAUCCGGAUUUACUGGGUUUAAAGGGUGCGUAGGUGGGCAGGUAAGUCAGUGGUGAAAUCUUCAAGCUUAACUUGGAAACUGCCAUUGAUACUAUUUGUCUUGAAUAUCCUGGAGGUAAGCGGAAUAUGUCAUGUAGCGGUGAAAUGCUUAGAUAUGACAUAGAACACCCAUGCGAAGGCAGCUUACUACGGGAUUAUUGACACUGAGGCACGAAAGCGUGGGGAUCAAACAGG
rnacentral:rRNA from 1 species